rnacentral:rRNA from 1 species
UGAGUGACCUGCCGAUUCGCGGGGGAUAGCCGGCCCAACGGCCGGGUAAUACCGCAUACGUUCUUUUGGGGCAUCCCGAAAAGAAGAAACCUCCGGGGCGAAUCGAGGGACUCGCGGCCUAUCAGCUAGUUGGCGAGGUAACGGCUCACCAAGGCUACGACGGGUAGCUGGU